UGGGGAAUCUUGGACAAUGGGCGCAAGCCUGAUCCAGCCAUGCCGCGUGAGUGAUGAAGGCCUUAGGGUUGUAAAGCUCUUUUGCCGGGGACGAUAAUGACGGUACCCGGAGAAUAAGUCCCGGCUAACUUCGUGCCAGCAGCCGCGGUAAUACGAAGGGAGCUAGCGUUGUUCGGAAUUACUGGGCGUAAAGCGCACGUAGGCGGAUUGAUAAGUUAGAGGUGAAAUCCCGGGGCUCAACCUCGGAACUGCCUUUGAUACUGUUAGUCUCGAGUCCGAUAGAGGUGAGUGGAAUUCCUAGUGUAGAGGUGAAAUUCGUAGAUAUUAGGAAGAACACCAGUGGCGAAGGCGGCUCACUGGAUCGGUACUGACGCUGAGGUGCGAAAGCGUGGGGAGCAAACAGGAUUAGAUACCCCCGUAGUCCCUGAGCGGGCUGGCAAGGCGCAU
rnacentral:rRNA from 1 species